UUUUAGAAAAGGAUGAUGCCAAUAAAACAUCUCCAUCUGACACAGAGGAAAUUGACCAAAGCUCUCCAUCUGGGAGCGGCCAACCAGCGAAAUCCAGUAA